UACGGGGGGGAGCAAGCGUUGUUCGGAUUUACUGGGCGUAAAGGGCGCGUAGGCGGCCAGCACAAGUCAGUUGUGAAAUCUCCGAGCUUAACUCGGAAAGGUCAACUGAUACUGUGCGGCUAGAGUGCGGAAGGGGCAACUGGAAUUCUUGGUGUAGCGGUGAAAUGCGUAGAUAUCAAGAGGAACACCUGCGGCGAAGGCGGGUUGCUGGGCCGACACGUGACGCUG
rnacentral:rRNA from 1 species